UCAAAGCCCGGCCAGCUGACUCAGGCUUAUGGGGCUUGGGCUGCAAGACUAUAACAUUACAGUGCAGACAGAUGGGCUUGAGCCCAACCUCUGAAACCGCAGGAGGGGUGAGGGUUUCUGAACCCAGGCUUCAGUGUGAACACAAAUAACUGCACCACAGUUUUUAGCCCCUCAACUUUAGCUCCAUGGGCCCAAGUCAAAUGACCCAGGCCAGCCAUGCUGCCAUCUUUAUCCCAGGAGAGAUGGACUCUAAGGGUACGUCUCCAUUGCAAUGUCAGCCCAGGUGUGGCACACUGUGCUCAAAGCAGCACCUGGAAGCCCCAUAUUCACCACUCUCAUAUAAUAAUGAUACGGUUUGUACAAAGUCUGCCUGGUGAGGUAUCAUUUCAAAAGUCUUGAUCUGUUGAACAUUAAUAUUGUGUUGGACUGUGUGUGUAGCAUUGGUUGGGGAGUUAUGAAGUUUGCUGUGUGUGCAUUACUGAGAUAUGUUAUGAGGUUGGGAAAUGCCCACCACCAGCAUUUCAGGUGCGACAAUGGAGGAGCCAGACUCGCUGCUGGCCCAUUAAAGGGAUCCACACUCCCAAAUACUAUCCCAGGAACCGUGUACAAUGCAGACUUCUCCGAGAUAGCACAGCGACAAUGGACACUGCUUGACUCACAUCAUAGCAAAGGUAUUUCCUAGCAAGUUGGAAGAAACUUUGAAAGAGGGGAAGAGACAUCAUGACUUGGCCUCUCUCCCCCACAACUCAACACCUGGAAACACAUCUGGAGGACAAACACUGAACUGAAAUAAAUCAGAAGAGAAUAAUAAUAAUACAUUCAAAUCAAAGUC